AGUGAACGCUGGCGGUAGGCCUAACACAUGCAAGUCGAACGGCAGCACAGUAAGAGCUUGCUCUUACGGGUGGCGAGUGGCGGACGGGUGAGGAAUACAUCGGAAUCUACUUUUUCGUGGGGGAUAACGUAGGGAAACUUACGCUAAUACCGCAUACGACCUACGGGUGAAAGCAGGGGAUCUUCGGACCUUGCGCGAUUGAAUGAGCCGAUGUCGGAUUAGCUAGUUGGCGGGGUAAAGGCCCACCAAGGCGACGAUCCGUAGCUGGUCUGAGAGGAUGAUCAGCCACACUGGAACUGAGACACGGUCCAGACUCCUACGGGAGGCAGCAGUGGGGAAUAUUGGACAAUGGGCGCAAGCCUGAUCCAGCCAUACCGCGUGGGUGAAGAAGGCCUUCGGGUUGUAAAGCCCUUUUGUUGGGAAAGAAAAGCAGCAGGUUAAUACCCCGCUGUUCCGGCGGUACCCAAAGAAUAAGCACCGGCUAACUUCGUG
rnacentral:rRNA from 1 species